rnacentral:rRNA from 1 species
GACGAACGCUGGCGGCGUGCUUAACACAUGCAAGUCGAACGGUGAAGCGAGUGCUUGCACUCGUGGAUCAGUGGCGAACGGGUGAGUAACACGUGAGUAACCUGCCCAUCACUCUGGGAUAAGCACUGGAAACGGUGUCUAAUACUGGAUACGACCAACCCUUGCAUGGGGUGUUGGUGGAAAGAUUUAUCGGUGAUGGAUGGACUCGCGGCCUUUCAGCUUGUUGGCGGGGUAAUGGCCCACCAAGGCGACGACGGGUAGCCGGCCUGAGAGGGUGACCGGCCACACUGGGACUGAGACACGGCCCAGACUCCUACGGGAGGCAGCAGUGGGGAAUAUUGCACAAUGGGCGAAAGCCUGAUGCAGCGACGCCGCGUGAGGGAUGACGGCCUUCGGGUUGUAAACCUCUUUCAGCAGGGAAGAAGCGAAAGUGACGGUACCUGCAGAAGAAGCACCGGCUAACUACGUG